rnacentral:rRNA from 1 species
GAUGAAAAGAACUUUGAAAAGAGAGUUAAACAGUACGUGAAAUUGUUGAAAGGGAAACGAUUGAAGCCAGUCGUACCUUCGGGUAAUCAGCCUUUCGGGUGCGAUUCUGUGGAGUGUGAGGAGCUUAAACACCUUCAUGUUUUGCAUAUUCGUACUCUUGGGUGUACUUGCCCGUGUGGUUGGUUAACAUCAAUUUUGGUGGUCAUAAAAUGACUGGGGGAAUGUAGCUUCGAUCUUGUAUUGAAGUGUUAUAGCCUUCGGUAGAUGUGAUGAUCGAGAUUGAGGAUUGCAACGGAUACCCUUCGGGGCUACCUGUCUGGUCUCUGAUCGUUGCUUUGGUGCCGAAAGCUUGCUUACGGUUAUCAAAGUCGAUGGUCAAUAGGUUAGAACGGGUUAAAUUCGUUAAGGAUGUUGACGUAAUGGCUUUAAACGACCCGUCUUGAAACACGGACCAAGA